CAGCCGCGUAAUUCCAGCUCCAAUAGCGUAUAUUAAAGUUGUUGCAGUUAAAAAGCUCGUAGUUGAAUUUCGGGAUCAGUUGGUCGGUCGUGCCUCGGUACGUACUGGUCAAAUUGAUUCCUACCUUCUGACGAACCACGAUGUCAUUAAUUUGGUGUCGUGGGGAAUCAGGACUGUUACUUUGAAAAAAUUAGAGUGUUUAAAGCAGGCUCGCGCUUGAAUACAUUAGCAUGGAAUAAUGAAAUAGGACGUUUGAUUCUAUUUUGUUGGUUUCUAGGAUCGACGUAAUGAUUAAUAGGGAUAGUUGGGGGCAUUAGUAUUCAAUUGUCAGAGGUGAAAUUCUUGGAUUUAUUGAAGACUAACUACUGCGAAAGCAUUUGCCAAGGAUGUUUUCAUUAAUCAAGAACGAAAGUUAGGGGAUCGAAGACGAUCAGAUACCGUCGUAGUCUUAACCAUAAACUAUGCCGACUAGGGAUCGGAUGAUGUUAAUUUUUUAAUGACUCAUUCGGCGCCUUACG
rnacentral:misc_RNA from 1 species